rnacentral:rRNA from 1 species
ACUAUUGUCACGGGUUACCGCGGCUGCUGGCACGGAGUUAGCCGGUGCUUCUUCUGUGAGUGAUGUCCUUCCUGCCGGCUAUUAACCCGCAGGCCUUCUUCCUCACUGAAAGUGCUUUACAACCCGAAGGCCUUCUUCACACACGCGGCAUGGCUGGAUCAGGGUUGCCCCCAUUGUCCAAUAUUCCCCACUGCUGCCUCCCGUAGGAGUCUGGGCCGUGUCUCAGUCCCAGUGUGGCUGAUCAUCCUCUCAGACCAGCUACGGAUCGUCGCCUUGGUGAGCCGUUACCUCACCAACCAGCUAAUCCGACAUAGCUCAUCCGAUAGCGCGAGGCCCGAAGGU